rnacentral:rRNA from 1 species
CGUAUUAGGCAACAACCUUUCCUCCUCGCUGAAAGUGCUUUACAACCCGAAGGCCUUCUUCACACACGCGGCAUGGCUGCAUCAGGGUUUCCCCCAUUGUGCAAUAUUCCCCACUGCUGCCUCCCGUAGGAGUCUGGACCGUGUCUCAGUUCCAGUGUGGCUGAUCAUCCUCUCAGACCAGCUAGGGAUCGUCGCCUUGGUGAGCCAUUACCUCACCAACUAGCUAAUCCCACCUGGGCAUAUCCAAUCGCGCAAGGCCCGAAGGUCCCCUGCUUUCCCCCGUAGGGCGUAUGCGGUAUUAGCAGUCGUUUCCAACUGUUAUCCCCCUCGACUGGGCAAUUUCCCAGGCAUUACUCACCCGUCCGCCGCUCGCCGGCAAAAGUAGCAAGCUACUUUCCCGCUGCCGCUCGACUUGCAUGUGUUAGGCCUGCCGCCAGCGU